CUUUGUUGCCCGCCACGCUCGAGUGGUGUUUCGGUCGUGAGUUUGGACGCUGGUGCCGCGCGACGGCGAUCGCGAGAACUUCCAAGGUCGUGGAAGGGUGGUGGAAGGGUUGAAUGGUGGGACAGAGCGACGCCGAGAGAGGAAACGAGCCAAGAGGAAGGGUGGACGAAAGGGAGCCUCGGUGGGGCUGAAUCCGGAGAACGUAUCCGACGAGGAUGGGGACACGCUGGCUCUCUCAGGACGCGCAGAACAUCAGAGUGGGUCGAAAAGGCCUCUUUCUCUCUCCCUCCUUCUCUCCUACCACCUAGUGCUCCGUCCCUGUCCCUUUCCCAGCAUUUUUCUCACUUCCACAUACUCCUCGUGGAGAGGCAGAGGAACAGAGCCCCCGAUGGCGGGGCGAGAACCGGCUUACUACGCGACGAAACGCUACCACGACGCUCAGUCUUCAGCGAUCACACCGCCAGGCAGUAAUGGACCUUCCUGAGCCUAGCCUCUUCGUCUACGAUCUAUCUUUUUUCCUGCUUACGGGGUGACGACAAUAAACAGAGAUCUCGAAUUAGAAAACAAUUAUUCCACUUCUUGGUUGAAUUCAACGAUUCGGAGCGGGAUUCGACUUCGAAGAGCUUCGGCUACUGAUGUCAACGAGAACUUGAGAGAGAUUGUUAACAGUUUCGGUGCACAGUGUUGAGAAGGGAGUUCAAGUCCGAAUCCAGUCUUUCGAACGACUUGUAAAUUGUCUUUCGCGAGCAAUUACUCGUUGUACCGGAGUGAAGAAAAAGAAAUUUCAUUGAAAGCUGAUUAAUGAAUCGGAGUCGACAGAUGUUUACCGACAUCUAUCAGAAGGAAGCUCGUUAUUGUACGAAACUUUGGAAAAUGAAACUUCGCGAGAGUAUCUUCGGUUAUAAAGAGAUUAAGAAAGAAUUGGAAAAAUUAUUCAACGCUUGAAGAUGAUAUGAAAAAAAAAAAAAAAAUGUCCACGUGAGAAAAAGCAAUCGCCCUCACAAGACAGGUGCAAUAAUACGAAAGUGCAAUCGCAUAAUUGUAAGCGAAUGACACAAAAGUUUGUGCUGCACCGUGUUAAACCACGUGAUAUACUAAAUCCCACGAGUCAUCUUCAUUUCCAUUCACGAGCGUAAAUUUCGCGAUCUGGAUGGUGUAUAAAAUCGAGAUCAAAUAAUCUUCCAAAUUUUCAAGUACACUGCCUAUGAAGAUCACAAGAACGUUAAAGGUGCAACGUAACAGUGAUAACACUGCGAAAUUCGUGGUAUCGUGUUAACGUUGUCCAAUAACGAUAACAAAGAAGAGAACUGCAAUGAGGCGCUGCAAGUGCGGGAAAAGUGUAAAUAAUGUAAAAGUGGUAAAAGUGGAGUAAAACUGCACUACUACAUGCUUUCGCAUAAGUUCCGAAUGUAAUAUAUCCACUAGUCGUAUAUUGACGAACUCGUUACGUGGACGUGUAAUCCGCCGACGGCACUUAUGAUCCGAGAUAUUCAAUGCGAUCAGAUAAAGACAAGUGAGAGAUUCAAAGCCAGGAAAGAAGAUUGCAACUACUCACAACCAGUGGCAGCGAUCGGUAAGAUGCUUGGAGGAUCGUUAAGCCCGAUUCAUUAUCGUCCGUUGGAUGCGAAUGAAAGAGAGAGGGCGGAAGAAAGGAAAAGAGAUUCACGGCUGUUAUACGGAGCGCAUAAACGGCCCGGCGCGAGAAACAUAAAGGGCGCCUUCUUGCGUUUAUCGAUCUAAUUGUCGGAGAACUUAAUUGCGGGGGAUGAGAAACGACCUUGAGGAGGGUCGUCGCCGUUAGCACCACCUCCGCCGCCUCAGAGACCGAAGUUCAAGCAUCCUGGGACUUCCGUGAGAGAAGGUAAUUACGAAAGUGACCUGCCCCAACGAAAUUUGCCUCCUUCCAACCAAAGACCGAGCGACUUGUUAAUGAAGAAACCUUGCACGUGUUUUGGUCCACGUGGAGCGAACAUUCUUGUACAUCGAUAAAUCAGUAUCAAUAUGCGGAAAUUAAUCAGUUUUACAACGUACUUUAAUAAAUUGUUAAAUUAAAAAAUAGAAUAUUUAUCACAAAAUUGAUCAUUUUGGAACGUUUUCUCUUGUUGUUCAUUUUAGGUACUUCAUAAUAACGAAAAAUUGAAUAUUAGAGAAAGUAUGAAAGAAAUUAAUUUAAAAAAUUUUUAUACAGAAUCUUUUAGUUAAACGCAACAAGUCAUUUA